GGGGAUUUAGCUCAACAGCAUGAGCGCCUGACUUGUAAGCAGGCAGUCGUGAGUUCAAUCCCCA
rnacentral:tRNA from 1 species